rnacentral:rRNA from 1 species
GAUGAACGCUGGCGGCGUGCCUAAUACAUGCAAGUCGAGCGAACAGAUGAGGAGCUUGCUCCUCUGACGUUAGCGGCGGACGGGUGAGUAACACGUGGAUACCCUACCUAUAAGACUGGGAUAACUUCGGGAAACCGGAGCUAAUACCGGAUAAUAUAUUGAACCGCAUGGUUCAAUAGUGAAAGACGGUUUUGCUGUCACUUAUAGAUGGAUCCGCGCCGCAUUAGCUAGUUGGUAAGGUAACGGCUUACCAAGGCAACGAUGCGUAGCCGACCUGAGAGGGUGAUCGGCCACACUGGAACGGAGACACGGUCCAGACUCCUACGGGAGGCAGCAGUAGGGAAUCUUCCGCAAUGGGCGAAAGCCUGACGGAGCAACGCCGCGUGAGUGAUGAAGGUCUUCGGAUCGUAAAACUCUGUUAUUAGGGAAGAACAAAUGUGUAAGUAACUAUGCACGUCUUGACGGUACCUAAUCAGAAAGCCACGGCUAACUACGUG